rnacentral:rRNA from 1 species
UACGUAGGGUGCGAGCGUUGUCCGGAAUUAUUGGGCGUAAAGAGCUCGUAGGCGGUCUGUCGCGUCGGCUGUGAAAUCCCGAGGCUCAACCUCGGGUCUGCAGUCGAUACGGGCAAACUAGAGUAUUGCAGGGGAGACUGGAAUUCCUGGUGUAGCGGUGGAAUGCGCAGAUAUCAGGAGGAACACCGGUGGCGAAGGCGGGUCUCUGGGCCGGAACUGACGCUGAGGAGCGAAAGCGUGGGGAGCGAACAGG